rnacentral:ncRNA from 1 species
AAUAUAGCUAUGACGAAGAAAAGUAUUUAUUAAUAGCAUUUCAGAGAGAGAACGGUUGCUGAAAGUUCUUAUGACUGUUAAUGAAGAAGUUCACUUCUGAGCUAAAAGCUGAAAAUAUUAUGUAGGCUUUUCGCAAGAAAAAGCGAUAAAAUAUCAACGAGAGUCCUUUGAUUCAGGGUGGUACCGCAAUUUAAUUGCCCCUGAU